GACCUGUUUUAUUAAUCAGUGAUGAUAAUGUUUAUCAGUACAAUUCCGAUGUUAUCAACCCUGAUAGCUGCUGAUUACAUGACUUGACCCCGCUUCCCUGACAUGCGUUGGGUUCACUACGGGUGUGGGUCCUGUCCUCGGGAGAAAGGGGCAAAUCUUCGUAAUUGCCGCACUUGCGAGGAGGACCUCUGCAAUAAGAGGCUCGUUCCUGAACCAGUUGUGGUCCCUGCGGCUCCCCCUCCAGCCCCCUCUGGGGCCAGCGGAAAGUUUUUUAGUCCCGGACUGUUUUUUCUCGUAUUUUUAAUUGUUAAUUUUUAAUGUAAAAUUUUAAUGUAUAUUUUAAUUUUCCGUAGUUA